rnacentral:miRNA from 1 species
UAUGUAUGUGUGUAUGCAUGCAUGUGCAUUUAUAUGCUAUUUAUAUAUAUUUAUACACACAUACACAUAUACCAAAG